CGGAGGCAGCGAGAGAGGCGUGAACGCCGUCCCCUACGUCACCAAAAUGCCGCAGCGAAACCUCUCCGCUAUGUAGCGGGCGUCGGAAGAAACGCGUGUCCCUCUCCCCAGACUCUAUAGACAAACUGUUCGCGACGUUCUCAGUCGCAAUACGGGCGCACCGGAUUAACGGCUAUGACGGCUCGGCUCCUGACGAUCCUGCUCUCCCUCUCCGCAGUCGGUAUGUCCCUACCGUACAGGGAGUGGCCGUCCGCGAGAGGCAUAUCAAGGCUCCAUUCCGGAUGCGUCGAAGGGGAGAACUUGGUUCAUCCUCACGGUGACGCCUACUACUUGACAUGCGCUAACGGGGCACUUAGGCAACGACGGUGUGGCAUGGGUCGGCUAUUCUCCGCCCACGCUGGGAAGUGCGUGAACGCUCGGGCUACUCAACGUGAAAGCGGUGCCAUUGAGCGACUUCCUUUACCAGACACCGCACACCUUCAACACGAACGCCGAUACUUGCGCUCAACUGCCUCCUCCGGCCGUGGUGAUCAGUCCAGUUACAAGACAAGAGCGAAGUUGCCCGCCAAUAGCAAGAACGGCAUACAUUUAAAGAAGACAGAAGAAAGAGAGAAAGCUGUACUGAAUGGAAAUGCUUUCAAUGGAGAUCUCAGAUACGAAAGGUUUCAAGAUAUUCGUUCAAGACGGCAGAAAAUGCGAAUCUCCGCCGAUCGACGGAGAACUGACACGGCACGUCCUAUGGCCUGCAUUGGUUGCUUCCGCAAGCUCUCUGCUGCGGAAAAAGUUAAGUCGCUGAUGGUGACAAGAUCACCGGAGAGGUCCCCAAUCAGCACUAGAUCAUCUAUAUCCAAUACUGGCCAUAAUAGCCCCAGUUCAAGCAGUUAUAUUUCUUCCCCACAAUAUAACCGGAGGAUUCAAACAUCACGUUCGCUAUCACACACUCGAUCGGCGACGCCUUUAAAAGAGAACAGGAGCUCAGCAGCUUCCCCUACAUUUGAACCAUUGCGUGCACUGCCAACCUCGGUCACCUCAAGAAAAGCACUACCCUCGACUUCGACUCCGGUUAAUUUUAAAUCUACACGCAAGAAGUGUUUUUGGAAAGCAAAGCUGCUCAGCAGCAUUAACGUAGCGCAUACGAGGACGCGCUCGAGUUCACUGCCCUCAGAGAGGAAACCAGAAGCGGCCAAGCAGAGUGUGUCUGCGUCAGAGCUUUCUACAGCUAAUCUCAGCAAUGAUGCAGCAGACGUAGAUGCACUGCAGAAAAAUAUAACGGCCAUGCACAAAUUUUUAACGACAACUGCCAGUUAUAAGCAAAAUACGCACGACAACGCUGAAGGAGUUAGGAGCGUGGCAGCAACAACGCUGGAAACUUCAGCGGGGCCUGAAUUUAAAGAGACUACUGCCCUAUAUAGGCCUCCCUCUAUUGGAACUGUUCAUAUGUCGUUUGUAGAGCGAACGCCUGUGGUCACGGAGGCUUUAUUAAAUGGCCAAAACUUAGCUCCGCCAGUGACGUCUGGUAGCAGUCCGAGGACAAGUGGUGUAGGCAUUGUAAUAACUGAAUCGUCUGUUCUAAGAACACAGGAAGAUGGAAGAAUAAACUCAUCGAAAGAUUUAUUGGAAAAAGUUAUCGUCCCAGAAAUUCUCAGAAACGCCACUGUAAACGUUCAACGACAUCAGGAUGAUGGGCGGACGAAAACAGGCACCACCCCUGUCGCAGAAAACGAAGUCUUGCCACUGCAGUCGUCAGAAGAUGCCAUGAAUACUGCUGGGGAAGAAAUCUCGGGACCGGAAGAGGCCGAGAAGCCUAAAGAAAUGAGAAAUAAGUCGAGUGAUUCUACAUCGAGUCAACAUGAAGCUUCCAUGACUGAUCUGUAUGACAAGCACACGACCGAUUUGCUACAAAUGCCAGGAACUGACAAACGCGAACAAAGCAUUGAAGAGAAAAUGCACGUCGAUUCGCAACCUCCAUUGCCUUUUCAAGUAUCUAGAAAAGCUUCACUCGAGACAGUGUCACACGAUUCCUCAGGUGUAGCAGUACCGGUGAAACAGACAACGACGGCUCUAGAUCAACAAUCACUGAAAAUGCAAGAGACCACUACUGAAAACUUUGCAAGCAAAUAUGUGAGUGCAUCUGAGACAUUGGCAAAGCUACCAGAAAGUGAACUAACGACAGUACUGACUCUAAUAUGGGCACCGAAGACAACUGCGCAUAGUGCUUUUCCUAGGCAGAUGGCACCUCUAGAUAUUACGGCGGUGAUGAGCUCCGCAGAACAAAGGGGCUCAGCAGAGUCAAGAAGAGAAACCACGUCCACAAUUGCAACUACCGCAGACCCCACCCCUGAUCAGAGCACAGGCGGUGGAAUUGCGGGAAUUGCUAGUGCCGCAGUUUCAACCAUAUCUAAGGAAAGCAGUAAUGGUAAACUCAAAGCAGCGUUGGGCUCAACUGUAAAGAAAGCCGCUGGCAUUAGAGAGGACGAAGAGUCAACUUGGACAACAGCGCGUACAGAUGCUACUAUAGCACUACCCACGCAUAACAUAAACACCCCCUAUAUUGAAAGCCACAGCAGAUUGUCUACCGAGCACGAAGCAGGUUUCGUGUCCCCGCAUACGACUACUCACGACGCAAGACCACAGACAAGUGAAGACAUGCUCGAGGAAUCUCUUCCAGUAUUGGAAUCUACUUCGGAAGCGACCUUACUUUCGUAUGCUCCUCGCGACGUCACUGACUUGGCAGUAUCAACUUUACCGUCACCAUAUCUAGUUACACUACCCGCAGAACUAACAGACAAAAAAUAUGAAGACACAUCACGAACAUCUAGCAGCGUCGAGGUGCAAGGCGAAGCUCCAGAACGAAAAAAUCAAGCUGAUUUCAAACGAACGUUGACUAUAGAAGAUAAAAAGAUUUCAGCUACUGAUUCAAGUACAAAUCAUCCGGGGGGGUACUAUGAAGCUAACAAAGUAAAUAAUGCUUUGCCCUCGACUUUGGGAGCAGCUACCACGCUGACACCAUUGACAGUACAAAGAAGUGAUAGCCUUCCAUUAUCAGUUACAGCAAGUUACACUGAAACACGUUCCGAACCAAAGGCUGUUAUCUGGACGGAAAAUGACAGAAAAGCAACAACAGUGAGCGCUGAUGUUGUGUCACUAUUUCUCGAGAAACAUGUAACUAACGCCGGUGGCAAGGAUACUCAGAGUAUUAAUAUUUUCUAUCCAACCAGCACAUCAUCACAAGAGACAUCUACCACCCCACUUUCUACAGCACUACUAACAUAUAGCUCUCCUCCAUCAAAUCGUGACUUGACAACUACAGUGACGCCGCCGACUUUGUGUACAAGUAUCAAAGAUGAUAAACUGCAAAUAAUAGCAGAAACAAGCACACAGAAGACACAGGCACAAACUUCCCACGCUGACGCUAUAAAUGAUUUUCAAAGCAAAGUAAAUACUGUCGUGUCCCUGCAUCGCAAUGACACCGAAAACGUGGCACCACUGAAUCAAAUAAAAGAAACGUACCCUAUGUCAAAUGUUAGCAAUGACAUCAGAGAAAAUUUGAAUGCGCAUUCAAAUGAGCAUGGGUUGGCAGAGAGCCUGAAAUAUAAUUAUUCGUCCUCAGAUAUUGCCGAUCAGUGGCUAGCUUCAACGAUAACCGCAUCCACAUCAAUGGUCUCAACUACAGAAGCCUACGGUCAUCAUACGCCGUUUGCUGUUAUCCAGGAACUGGCAACAGCUACUUAUCUUAAUAAAGCUUAUACGACGCAAACGCCUAAAGAUGUUGAAAGUUCGGAGUAUUCACCGACAACUGAAGGAAAUCGUUCAUCCGUCACCGAAUCGGUGCCUUUGGAAGACCUUGGUCCUGACGUGGCUACUGAAGCAGCACCACACAUGGCAUCUAAUAACCUUACAAUCGACAGUGCUGUCCUCAGAGAAAGUGGCACCAAAAUAUCGUUAUCAGACGCUACAACACCACAGGAAAAUGAAACCGGAAAAAAUUAUUCUACGAUUCCAGAAGGCUAUCAAGGGGACAGCCAUGAUGCUUCCCUCUCCUUGUCCGAGUUGCAUCUCUCGAAGUCUUCCGGAGGAAGAAAAUUUCUAAAUCCUUCAAUCACAGUUCACCUGUCAACACGCUAUCCUGGAGAGGCAAAUGGUGUUACUGAGACCACAAGUGACACCCCAACAGCUAUCCCUAAAGAAGUGAGAAACGAUGCAGCAACAGACGUUACAUAUACGAAAACACUAAAGACUUCUACAAGGUCCCCACAAAUAUUCACGGAGAAAGUGCUGCCUCAAGAAGUCGAGAAUCACAUGUCAAGUAAAGAGCACUUGCCGUUCAAAUCGACUGGAGAUACAAAUGCGCACUUGAAAGCCGAAGCCUCGACUCAGAGUUGGGAGUCCCCCACGGCGGUAUUAUUCAGGCCACCCAAUGACGCUGAAUGGGAACACAGAGAAGAUAAUCUUAAAAGUGAUAAAUCUAGUGUUGGUACACCUGUUUCCUCGCCUUUGUCAACGGCGAUAUUGCACAUUAACACAAACACUUUCUCUACUGUGAUUGAAGAAGUCUCAAGCAUGAAGAGCGAUAAAACCUCAACAGUUAGGCCACAGCUGACAACAGAAGUGAAUGAAUAUGCUACAUUAGGAACGAAAACGCUAGUUACUUUAGGUACUACCACUUUUGCGCCGACUGUUACAUCAGCGCCUAUGACAGAAAAAGCUAAAACCUGGACGGCGUUGUCGAUCCCGAGCUCUAGGCUGCAGGAGAAAACGACAAAGGCUCCUCUGUGCAAAUCUACCUUUGGCCUCUUUCGUCACCCUACUAAUUGCAAUCUUUUUGUU